rnacentral:tRNA from 1 species
UCCCCAGUGGUCCAGUGGUGAGGACUCUGCACUUCCACUGCUGGGAUACAGGUUUGAUCCCUGGUUGGGGAA